UUGUGUGGCCAGCACAACAACCAAUUGCCAAAACAGCAUUUUAGAUCCAAAUUUGCUUUUCUUUUCACUCACGAGAGUUUUGGUUAAAUUUCUCUAUCAAAAUCUGUCAACUAAGACAUUAAUUUCACUACCGAAAUCCAAACUGUCAACAAGAUAAAAGCCUGUAGGACUAGAUCUUUGUCACCAAAACUAGCAAUCAGUAGUCCCAUCCUUCUGUUUAUAAUGAAGCUAUUUGUCUAUCUGUAGAUUAUACAAUGAUGUUCUGCUUUAUGACCCUUGAAUUGUGAUUUGACAUUAAUUUAUCAGUAUUAUAUUUUUAAUUUAUUGGAUGUUUUGUUUGUAUGUAUAUCAUACUAAGUGUAUAUACCAUCGUUUGAACAUGCAAGUUGUUGAACAGUAUAACCAAUACUGAA